CGCGCACACACCGCCCGUCACUCUCCCCAAGCCAAUCAACCCCCC
rnacentral:rRNA from 1 species